rnacentral:rRNA from 1 species
AACGAACGUUAGCGGCGCGCCUAACACAUGCAAGUCGCACGAGAAAGGGCUUCGGCCCCGGUAAAAGUGGCGCACGGGUGAGUAACACGUGGGUAACCUGCCCUCGAGCGGGGGAUAACAUUCCGAAAGGAGUGCUAAUACCGCAUAAGACCACGACCUCGAAAGAGGAUGGGGUCAAAGCUGGCCUCUAUAUAUAAGCUAGCACUUGAGGAUGGGCCCGCGGCGCAUCAGGUAGUUGGUGAGGCAACGGCUCACCAAGCCUAAGACGCGUAGCUGGUCUGAGAGGAUGAUCAGCCACACUGGAACUGAGACACGGUCCAGACUCCUACGGGAGGCAGCAGUGGGGAAUCUUGCGCAAUGGACGAAAGUCU